AAUUCUAUAUGGUGGGAUAGAUAUUGGCUGAGUAUCUGGAAGAAAUUCUAUUCUGAAGUCAAUUUCCCUUUCGGGAGGAGCUCUGGGGAGAUCUUUGGCAAACACAUCUAGGAAUUCACAUGCUACUGAAACCGAUUCAAGGUAAGAAACAAGCUGACCCCUAAGUGUUAAAGUACUACCCCUCCACUCAAGGACGGGUUCAUUCAAAAAGUAGUUGAAGGGGAAAAAGUGGCUCAGUAAGUUUGACAAUGUGUUGUAGAAGCUUUUAUAACAUAUUUGACUUUGAUACUCUCGAUCUUACAUCGACUACUCUCUUAGUGGAUGGCAUGGAGAGAUUAUAGGGAGAUAUUCCACAAAUAUCGUGCAAUUUAGAAUAUAUAUUUCCUUCUGGGUUCUUUGACUCAAUGGAACAUCUGCCUGUGCACCUUCCAUAUGAAGCAAAGAUUGCUUGACCCGUACUAUAUCAAUGGAUGUAUCCUUUUAAAAGGUAAAUGUAAAACUGUAUGUUGAACUUGUGACAAGUUUGUUAUAUGUAACUUUUCAAAUAUAAAAAUUUAUACUUAUCUAUUUAGGUGUCUUGGAACACUUAAAAAUAAUGAUUAGGAAUAAAUCAAGAGUUGAGGAUUCGAUAUGUGAAGCAUUCUUGAUGACAGAGUCAACACUAUUGUUUUCUAAUUAUUUUAAACCACAUGUCAUGACACACAAUCAUAAUAUGGAUCGUAAUGAUGACUGGGGUAUUAUGGAAGAUCUUGAAGGAAAUUUAUCAAUAUUCAGUAUCCAGGUCGAUUAUGUGGAGAAUCAAAAAAGAGGAAUUUAACCUUGAAGAAAUCAAGGUUGCACAAACUUACAUUUUAUUAAAUUGUAAAGAGGUU